UCCGCCUCUCCCUACUCUGUCCAUCGCUUCUCCCUGCUCUAUACCACCGCCGCCGUCGCAACCCCGCCCCGCCGACCGAUGACACUCCCCAAGGCGCCGACACAGUGACACAACGACCGCCACCACCGCCGAAUCAGAACAAAUAACUCAUAAACCACGGUUUCCACUGUCUGCUCGAAGAGUCCCUCCCCCUGCGACACAGUUUCCUCUACUCCCAGGGAUAGUGGUGACAAGUGUAAAUCCUUGAUUAAGAUGCUUUAGAGGAAUCUCCCCUUCUCCACUCGUAGGAUGCUAUUAGAGAGUUUCUUUAUGUACUCAAUUUAUCACCCUUCAAGGUAUUUGUGAGGUUCGCACCUUUUGGCAAAGAGCAUCCUGCAUCUGACAAUGUGAUAGAAGUGUGCCAUAAUUUUUUAAAACCAAAGAAACAGAUCAAAAUGAGUCAAAGAAGUUAAAAAAAAAACAAGGGUGGAUACUAAAGUGAUUGAUAUCAUAUGAACUUGCCCUAUGGCGGUAACAAAAUGAGUCCUGAUGAAGAAGAUGAAGUAAUAUUGAACGUGGAUUGACAUUAUGCUCAAGCUAAUGUUCUUAGCUUUAUUUUGAAUAUUGGAGAUUGUGUGUAUGUAAAGGUGAAGAUGAUUCUAAUUCUCUGGCAGAUUCUGAUGAUUCAGAUGUAGAAUAUGAAAUUCUACACCUGGUAGAUAUCUGUUUUGGAGAUCUAAAAUCCUUAUGGAAAAGAAACACAGAGAGACCUUGAAGAUACAUGGGAGCCAAUUGAUGGGCUGAAAAGUUGGAAGAAUCGUCAAGGAUGGUUUACCAUCUUAGUGUUCACAGAUAUCAUGCUUUGGUGAUUGGAAUCAUUUGUGGCAUACUGUGGUAAUUGGUAAUGCUGAUCUGAGACAUGGAAGGAUGAUGGAAAGAAGUUUGGAAGAAGAAGAGUUUCUCAUAUUUACUAAAGGCCUUGGAAGCGUGUGGUUUAUUUAAGCAAAAAUCAGCAUUCAAAACGGUAGUGUACAUUCUAGUAGUAAGUACAGGCUAAUUGGGGGGGUCUAUUCUAUUAUUAUUGUGAAGAAUAUAUUGUAUAGUUUAUUGUGUUAUUGUGAAAAAUAUAUUGUAUAGUUUAUUAUGUUGGGUUUUGCAAAAUUUUGUAUAGGAUUUUAAGUAAAAAAAAAAAUUAUGGGGUCUUUGGUCUCGUUUCUAACGAUGUAAUAACUUUACAAUGCUAUAUUUUUAUUAUUGUUAUUGAAAUUGAAUUUUUUAAUAUAAUAUA